UCCCUGGUGGUCCAGUGGUUAGGACUUGGUGUUUUCACUGCCGGGCCGCAGGUUCAAUCCCUGUUCAGGGAA